rnacentral:rRNA from 1 species
UUAAAGGCAUUGGGGGGAUACCUAGAUUUUAAGAAUAACGGACGUAAAAAUUACGAUAAGCUAUGGGGAGUUAAAUCUGUGAUCCAUAGAUUUCCGAUGAGGAAAACCUUAAUAAUAGAUUAUUAUUUACUCAGCGAACUGAAACAUCUAAGUAGCUGAAGGAAAAGAAAUCAACAGAGAUUCCGUGAGUAGUGGCGAGCGAAAAUGGAGUAGACCUUUAUUUUGUUUAUUAUAUAACACAUGUUGAAAAAUUGAAUGAAAAUUUUACCGAAGAAGGUGAUAGUCCUGUAGACAUGGUUAUUAUAAAUUAUUAAACAAAAUAGAAUAGAGUAGAACGGGACACGUGUAAUCUUGUUUGAAUAAAGGAGGACCACCUUCUAAGUCUAAAUAUUUCUUAAAAGUCGAUAGUGAACGAGUACUGUGAAGGAAAGGUGAAAAGACCCUGUAAAGGAGUGUGAAAUAGAACUUAAAACCCGAUGCUGUCGUACAGUUGGAGCUUUAAAGUAAAGUGACAAUGUACCUUUUGUAUAAUGGACUAACAACUUAAUUAUAAUAGCAAGCUUAAGUCGAAAGAUGUAGGCGUAGCGAAAGCAAGUUUGAAUAGAGCGUUUUAAAGUUAUUGUAAUUAGACCCGAAACCGGAUGAUCUAACCAUGAGCAGGCUGAAAUUUGUUUUAAAAAACAAUGGAGGGCCGAACUCACGUCUGUGGCAAAAGGCGGAGAUGACUUGUGGUUAGGAGUGAAAGGCUAAUCAAAUUCGGAUAUUGCUGGUUUUCUGCGAAAUCUAUAUAAGUAGAGCGUUAUAUAAUUUGCUUUUGGGGUAGAGCACUCAAUGAAUUAGGGGGAUUUCACGUCUUACCGAGUUCAAGGAAACUCCGAAUACAAAAGUUAAAAAUAUAGCAGACAGACUUUGGGUGCUAAGAUCCUGAGUCGAGAGGGAAACAGCCCAGAUUGCUUAUUAAGGCCUCUAAAUUUUAUCUUAGUGGUAAAGGAUAUAAAUAAACAUUGACAACUAAAAGAUAGGCUUGGAAGUAGCCACUCUUUAAAGAAGGUGUAAUAACCCAUUGGUUUAGUUUAUUUAGGCCGAAAAUGUAUAGAGACUAAAGAUAAAUGCCGAAAUAGCAAACAUAAUAUAUUAUAAUAUUCAUUUUAAUGGUAUUAAUAAAAUACUAUGUGGUAGCAGAACAUUCUGUAUUAUUGCUGAAAGAUAAGCUGUGAAGUUUAUUUAAAAAUCAGAAGAGAAAAUGUUAGUAUGAGUAACGUUAAACAAUGUAUAAAUAACAUUGUCGCCGAAAAUCCAAGGUUUUCUAAGCAAGGAUAUACCGCUUACGAGUUAGACGGCCCCUAAGAAAAAAGCGAAAG